AGAGGAAGAGGAAGAGGAAGAUGUUGAUGUUGAUGUUGAUGAGGAGGUUGAGGAUGAGGAUGAGGACUUUUUGCUGGAAGAAGAAGAUUUUUCAGAUGAGGAAGAACCAGCUGUUAGAAAGAGAGGAACCCAUAUGAAACGUGGUCGAAAUGCGGUGCGGAAAAAUACUGUUGGCAAAGUUUGCAAAAAGAGGAAGCCAAAGGCUGCAAAGAAACCUACAAGGAAUAAACGCAGAAAGAAGAAUGGCCCGCAGACUGUACAAAACUCAGAUGAUGAUGAUUUUUCCGAAAAUUACCCUACAGCGAAGAUUACGAGAAGGAAAAGGCC
rnacentral:misc_RNA from 1 species